GUCCUGCUGCGGCUCUCGUCGAAGGCAACACAUCCCAGCGACCUUAAUUCGCUCGAAGGGAGCUGACCCUGUCCUUCCCCGUGGGGUUGGACACUCGGCGCCCACCUGGUUAUCCAGGUCGAGGGGAUAGAACCGCCCUUCACGGCUCUUGCGGCGCCGCC
rnacentral:other from 1 species